GACGAACGCUGGCGGCGUGCCUAAUACAUGCAAGUAGAACGCUGAAGGAGGAGCUUGCUCUUCUGGAUGAGUUGCGAACGGGUGAGUAACGCGUAGGUAACCUGCCUGGUAGCGGGGGAUAACUAUUGGAAACGAUAGCUAAUACCGCAUAAGAGUAGAUGUUGCAUGACAUUUACUUAAAAGUUGCAAUUGCCUCACUACCAGAUGGACCUGCGUUGUAUUAGCUAGUUGGUGGGGUAACGGCUUACCAAGGCGACGAUACAUAGCCGACCUGAGAGGGUGAUCGGCCACACUGGGACUGAGACACGGCCCAGACUCCUACGGGAGGCAGCAGUAGGGAAUCUUCGGCAAUGGGCGGAAGGCUGACCGAGCAACGCCGCGUGAGUGAAGAAGGUUUUCGGAUCGUAAAGCUCUGUUGUAAGGGAAGAACGAGUGUGAGAGUGGAAAGUUCACACUGUGACGGUAUCUUACCAGAAAGGGACGGCUAACUACGUG
rnacentral:rRNA from 1 species